GUUGGGAACCACUGUUCUAAAACCACCAUACUCCAUCUAAUCUUGGAAACUAAGCAGGAUCAGCUCCAAUUUGUACUUGGAUGGAAGACCACCAAUGAAUACUGGGAGCUAUUGUUUAUU
rnacentral:rRNA from 1 species